ACAGUAAAAAAAAAAAAAAAAAAAAAAAAAAAAAAAAAAAAAAAAAAACUUGUUUGUGUCAGGAAGUGAGGUACGAAGAUGUGACCUGGAAGGUAGAGAAGAAACCAGAGUGGCAGUGUUUGCAUCUUGCAAAUGGUGACAGCAGCCUAGCUGCUGUUAAAAAAAGAAAAGAAAAGAAAAGAAAAAUGCACGGAAAAGGUAAAAGAAUCAGAAAAGCAUCUUUGUCCCUUCAUGGCCCGGCACAUGCCAGACACUAGAACCCGGUUACACUGCAAGUGCACGCUCAUGCCGUGUGCGCACCUAGCCGAAGAGAAAUACAUGUGCGUGUCCAGAGUAUGGUGAACCUCUCAUGUUGCCAUCACUUCUAGCAUUUAACUGAAGCAACGCUUGGAGGGCAUAUUCAGGUCCAGAGAGAUCUCAGCUUUGGGUAGCUUCCGCUAGUAGUGACUCACACCUGAAAUCCCCAAUCUUUACCCCAAAGUGGUUUUGGCCCGUGGGGACUUCAUCCUGCAAAGCUAAGCUCCAUGGUGCCAUGCUCGGGUCCCAGUUCAUGCUUUUCCAUGUUACAAGGAAAGCUGCCUGGGUUGGCCGCAUGAUGAAGAAACUUCGCAAGAAAGCCGAGACUGGGUGGGAAUCCACUGUCCUCUCUCUCCGCCUCAUCAGUUUACCUACCCACCAGCCAUGACGCAUCACCACUGUGUCCCUUCCAUGUCCUAGCAGGUCCCCCAGGUUUCACCAUCCCAGCUCAUGCCUGGUUCACCCCUCUCCCCCCUUUCUGGCCUUGCCUCCCAACUGAGUCCCUUUUCGGCCAGGGCGCCUGGCUCGGACUUCCCAAGUCCUCUGCGCCCCCUUUCCCAGCUCCUCGGCCUCUGCACCUCUCUGUCUCUCUCUCUCUGACCUCCUGUCAUCUCCUCCCCAGGCUGGCCCUCGCCUUCCGGGGGCCUCAGCUUACCUCUCUUUACCUGAAACGUCCUGCCCCUUUACUGGGGCGUACUCCACCCCUCCUCUCUCGUCCCAUCCCUUCUGCCGCCCAGCCCGUCUUCCAGGCACGGCCCGGCCUGCUCGGCUGCAGCCUUAUUUUGCAGGCGUGACCCUGGGCUGGGGAGGGAAUGUGUGGUGCAGCGUGGGGCCAGGCUCCCCCCCUGGGCUGGGGCCCCUGCCUCGCGCCCUCCGCCCCGCCCGAGGCCCGGGUGCGGCGCUUCCUGGGCGGACGGCGGGGACUUUGCUGCCGCAGCUCCGGUUCUGCUGUGUCAUGCAACGAGGCGGCGGCGGCGGCGGCGGCCGGAGCUGGAGGGAGGAGGGGGAGGAACCUGAUCCUCGCGUAGCGAAGGGCUGGAGGCAAACAGCGGGCUCCCCCAGAGCCGCCCCGGAGCAGGGAGGGCUCGGCCACCCCAGCCCCCGCCCCUCGCGGGCACAGGAGGCCGAUGCCCACCAGGUGUCAGGGGAUCCGGCGCGGAGUCUGGUUUGAGCCCUGUCCUGCUCAACACUUCAGUGGACAGCUAAGAUGUUGGCACUGGUGGGCGCGCGGAACACAUUUACAGAGGACACACAGCUGGCAAGGAUUGCAAGUAUGUCCAAUGUGCUGAGGAUACAGAGGUGACUCGGAGAUGCACUGUCAAGGGCACAUGGACAGUUUUCUGCUAAUGCGCCUGUUCAGAGGCAGCAGGUGAUGGCGCAAGUACCUGGGUCCCUGCCACCCACGUGGGAGACCUGGAUGGAGUUCCUGGCUACUGACCCGGCCCAGGCUGUCGUGGGUAUUUGAAGAGCAAACCAGCUGAUGGAAAAUCUUCGUCUGUCUCUCUGUGUAUUGUUCUGCCUAUCAAAUAAAUAAAAAUUAUAAAUAAAAAAUGGAUCCAAUGAUAAAUUUUAUUUUACCACAAUUAAAAAAAAUAAUGUUAGCUUUCUGAAAACAGGGGCUUGUUUCAUUCACUCUUGACUUCCUGGCUUCCAGCAGAAGGUCUGGCGCAUGGUAUGCACUUGACCAGUAUUGUGCUUUCCCUUUGUGGCUGCCUCCUGUCCACCACCCUGCAUGGCAGGACACAGGCCAAGUCCUUCCGGGAGCUGGUUCAGCAAACAGCACUUCUCCCCUGGGCGCAGAGGGGAAACGUCUCAAAUAUUUGUGAUUUGAUAUUUGUCCUGGUCACACCAACUAUUGUUUGCAUCUCAAGUAGGCUUGUCUGAGCCCUUUUUGCAUUUAUAUUUCCUAAACCUAGAUCCUGUUCCUACUUCCUAAAACAGAAUUUCCAUGGGCUUUGAAAGAAAAAAAAUGUGGAAGGAAGUCUGUGGAAUGAAGUCAUUAUUGGGUCAAGAUACAAAGGGCUCCCAGGCCCUGGCUGCAGGAAGGGGGAAGUAACCCACAGCGUUUGCAGUUCUGGAACUUGUCUGUCUGAUCCUGGUCCCCAGGCUUAUUUGCUUGUGUUUGUUUGUUUGUUUGUUUGUUUCACUUGGUCAAAAAUAGAAAAAGUUUCCUAGUCCUGGGCUUUUCUACUUUUUCCUUUGGGUGUUUGGUUUCCUCCUGCCCUGAUGUUCCCUUCCUCCUGCCACCUGCUGGCUUCCCUGCCCCUCAUCCC